AGAAAACUGCAAUGAGUAAAAGCAACAGAAAACCAGGUUCUUCUGGUGGUUGCUCCACCUGGAAGCUGAGCCAGCUCUCCUGAUGUCAGGAGUUAAACCAGCUGUGCAAAGCUGUGGAAGUACCAGAGCCCUUGUGGGUCCAGGCUGACAGUGGUGGCUCCUGUUGGAAGCAGGUGCUGCCAGCCCCCAGCACACGGCAGAGAAGCCACAGGCUCCCCUCUCACGGAUGUGCCUCGCAGUCCAGAGGAGCACAGGGAAAUGCAGCCCGCACCUCUGGCGGCGCAGAGACAGGAACGAACGCGGGACAGACGGGUCAGUGGUGCUUUAGUCCUGCCAAGUCCUCGGGGAUAAUCACUGUGUGUCUCCAUGGUGGAGGUGCUCCAGCCUGUGUGGGGUGGACAGGGCUCAGGCUGAGCCUGGGGACAGCAGAGCCUGCAACAGUGAGCUGGGACCUGGCAGGUCUGCCUUGUUUGUGACACUUCUGCAGCAUCAUUCCUGCUUCUCAGGGCCUGCAGGACCAGCCGGGAUUUUCAGGACCUGUGCACUGCCUGUUUCAAUACCUGGGAGGGAUUUAUUCACCCACAGACAGUGUUGGCAGUUUUCUGCAGGGCAGGAGUCCUUUGAACCUCGCUUGCACAAAGGAAAACAUCCAGGAUUUAACAAAAAUGCCUUCUUAGAACAGAAGUUCCAACUCUGUUUUGCUUUUGGCCUGUCCCUUAAUCUGUCUCAUGCACCAGGGAAAUCCAAUCCUUGCAAAGUUAAUUUUAUUAAUUGAUGCUUAUUGGGUUAUCUUUCAAAUCAAAUGAGCUUUAGCUGGGUGAGCUGGAAAUAAAGAACAUGCAGGGACUUAAAAGCAAUUCAAUUCAUUAAUAUCCUGCUAGUAAAAAGUAGCUCCUGAAGAGCCCAAUUUCCUGAAACACUGGGGAUUCCUCUACAGGAAGGACAGUUGUAGCAGAAAAUGGGAGAUCUGGGGCCAUCUCCAAGUUCAGUGGAAGUGCAGUGUUGGCAAGGUCGAGGGUACCAGCGAGAGCAGCCUGGUGCCAAGCGAGGUGUAUGAAGCACAUUGCCAGCACCAGACCUCUCCAGGGGAGAUCUGGGGCUUCAGCAGCACUAUUCACCAGGAAUGUGUGGGAUGUGCCUGGAGGAGAUCCAGACACCCUGCAGGCAGCACCCUCUGCAUUAGCAUGCUCUGCAGCCAAGGAGGAGGUGGCUGGUGAGCUGAAGAGCCGGGGUUUAUUCUGUCUGCUCACUGAGAGGCAGAGCCAUGUCUCCUCUGAGCCAGGAGAGUGUGCUGGCUACACAGGUUUGCUCUGAUAACUCUGCUCUCCAGGCCCUGCUGCUCAGGAGGUGCUGCUUUUUGCUGGAUUGAGCUCCCAGACCGAGUGGGAGCCUUUAGUGCCCCUUGGAAAGAGGGGAGGAUCAAUCCUGCCCCUGCAGCGAUUCAGGCAUUGGCGGUGUCUCUGGAUUAAACCCUGGAAUAUCCAUGGUGUAGGGAAUGGUGUAAGCUCAGCACUCACUGGAUGUGUAGUCCUGGGCAGCCUCACCUCCAGCACAUGGAUGGAGUCGAUGCAUAUGAGGAUUCCAAGGAUCUUCUGGGAGCUCUGUCCCUCUGGAUGAUGGCAAGUGAUGAGCCUGGGGGCCACAUGCACCAGGCAGAGAGCAAACAACAGUGUGGAUAAAUAAUCGGAGGGAGACGAAGGGAAAUUAGGAUUACUGUGGAGUGGAGCGUGGGGGAAAAGGCCACAAAUGCAAAGGAAGGAAAAAGAGCAUCUUUAUUGUGUUUCCUCUAGAAGGAACUGGGAGGUUUGCUUUGCCUUCCUGGGGAAAAGGGAAAGUCUUACUUAAAACACUCCCUGUCUCACAAUGCAAUGAAAACCCAAAGCAAAUCUUCUGACCCCUGACAGUGUGACGUUUUUAACACAGUAAAUAA